rnacentral:rRNA from 1 species
GACGAACCGUGCGAACGUUGUUCGGAAUCACUGGGCUUAAAGGGCGCGUAGGCGGGCUGCCAAGUCUGGGGGUGAAAUCCUCCGGCUCAACCGGAGUAGGGCCUCGGAUACUGGCGGCCUCGAGGGGGGGUAGGGGCGUGCGGAACUGUGGGUGGAGCGGUGAAAUGCGUAGAGAUGUGGAGGAACACCAGUGGCGAAGGCGACUCUUUGGCCUGUAACUGACACUGAGGCGCGAAAGCGUGGGGAGCAAACAGG